UACGUAGGGGGCAAGCGUUGUCCGGAAUCAUUGGGCGUAAAGCGCGUGUAGGCGGUUCGAUUAGUCUGCUGUGAAAACUCGGGGCUUAACCCCGGGCCUGCAGUGGGUACGGGCAGACUAGAGUGCGGUAGGGGAGACUGGAAUUCCUGGUGUAGCGGUGAAAUGCGCAGAUAUCAGGAGGAACACCGGUGGCGAAGGCGGGUCUCUGGGCAACUACUGACGCUGAGGAGCGAAAGCGUGGGGAGCGAACAGG
rnacentral:rRNA from 1 species